CAAGAUAUAGCUAAACACAGAUAAAGCAUCUCACUUACACCGAGAAGGUACCCGUGCAAACCGGGUUGUCUUGAUUCAACAUAACUGGGCCAAACUAUUGGCCCCUCACAACAGACCCCCAAGACACAGCUAAAGUAAAAAUAGCCCCCCUCCCAGGGAAUCGUGCCCGUGAAAAUCGGGCUAUCUUGGAAUAUAAUUUGCAACAAAACAACAAGACACCCCCAACAACUUUCCCUCCAUAAGCACUAACCUGGCAGUACCCCACAACAAACUCACACCCACACCC